UAGGAAUGUCUUUAGCUAAGUUAAGAAUAUUAUCGACUGAUGCUAAUGAUUAGCCUAACACUGUCAGUUACUAGCUUUGGAAUGAUGGUGACAAACCAAGGAAUGCAAGUGUGUUGUGAAGCAUGGAGAUAUGAGAUCCCAGAAUCAGCCACAAAGGGGAGACUCUGACAGAACAACAGCUAAAUAAGGGAACAUUGUGAUAUUAUAACCUGUGAUUUAGGAUCAGAUUAUGCCAUAACCUAAUGAAUGAGUUUGAACUAACCAAGUGUCUAUUCUUACAUUCUUUAAUGUUGAAACAGUGUAGAGGUCAGAAGCGUGACUCACUGUGAAAACUGAUGUUUUUGAUAGAUUUGACUAAAAAGAGGAACUUAUGCUUUAUGAAAUGGGAAUGCUUUUAAGAGUUUUGAUUUGACUACUGUUAAGAUAAGAGGGUUUUAACUUUGUAUUGAGGUGAGAAGUCACGAGUUAAGUGAACUAGGGUCAAGUGUUCACAGUAAAGGUCUCUAGACUCAAAAUAGAUUGGGUUUUUUUAAUAAGUCUGUACACAUUGUCCAAAAGAUUGCACAAUGGGAUGCCAGCGACAGUUAGAGGCUGACAUCCGCUUUUCCAUUUCCUGAUCAGGAACCUGUGCUGAGUUGCAGACAGGAGAGAUCAGGGGGGGCAAGAUGGGCUGUCUGGACAGUCCAAAACAGAUAGUUUCAGUUCCUUAAAAGUGGGGGUGAUCAUGCGGUCAGUGUAUGGGGCAAGUGUGUGAGUUGGGAGGGGGUAAAGAUACAGUAAACUAUAAAUUACAUCUGAUCAAGACGCAAGUUGGGAGAUUGUUGCGGGUAUCUGCCUGGGUGCAAUCCAGACAUCAGUCUGAGCACAGGGGAUGAUUACCACGUAACUCGGACAGGGAAUUCAACAUGAUCUGCAAAGGAAUAACUGUUCUGAUGGAAUUAUGGACCAAAGUACUGCGUUUCCUGCAGUGUUGGAGGAUUACUGAACUGUGAUCUGGAAAUAAUGCUGUCUGAAGGAACAUUACUGAACUCUAUUUUCCAUGUGAGGAAUACUGGACCAAACAACAAAAAUGGAUAUAUGCAGAUCUAAAUCUGGUCGGACCCCCAUCCACUUCCCCCUGGGCCCCGGCGGGUCUCAGGUGAGCAGCCGGGUGUGGCCACACCGUGACUGCUCUCCCUCCAAAUUAUGUAAUCUGGGCAGCAGAAUGAAGAUGAAGAGGAUGAAGAUGAAGAGGAUGAAGAUGAAGAGGAUGAUAAUCACGUCGUACGUUUCCUAUUUCCCCUCCAGUCCACGGUACAGAUAUAAAACAGAGAUAUUCAGCUGGAAGAAAAGAACGACUGCAGGAAUAAAAAAUGAAACAGACGAAGAACUGGAUGAAUUCUAACAGCAGCAGACUCUCUCUCUCCAACGUGGAGGUCCAUGUGACUCUCAACGAGGAAAACAUGAAGUAAAACACCGACAUCUAGUGGAGAAAGGAGGAAAAGCAGCAACAUCUGAAGGCUGAAGAUACAAACUGAAGCUAUAAACUGGAGCUACAACAUCAAACUGAAACUACAAACUGAGGAUAAAAACAUCAAACUGAGGCUAAAAACAUUAAUGUGAAGCUAUAAACUGGACCUAAAGCUGCAAACUGAAGCCAAAAAAAUCAAACUGAAGCUAAAAAAAAAUCAAACUGAAGCUAAAAAAACAAACUCAAGCUAAAAAAAAAUCAAACUCAAGCUACAAACUGAGGCUAAGCUUCAGACUUAAGCUAUAAUAUCAAAUUGAAGCUAUAGUAUCCAGCUGAAGCUUAAAAAAAUCAAGCUGAAGCUAUAAACUGAAGCUACAAUGUCAAACUAAAGCUAAAACUACAAACUGAGGAUAAAGCUUCAGACUUAAGCUAUAAUAUCAAACUGAAGCUAAAGCUACAAAUUGAGCUAUAACAUCCAGCUGAAGCUUAAAAAAUCAAACUGAAGCUAUAAACUGAAGCUAAAACAUCAAACUGAAGCUAAAAAAUCAAACUAAAGCUACAAACGGAAGCUUCAAACUGAAGUUAAAGCUAGUCUGAAGCUAAAACAUCAAACUGAAGGUACAAACUGAAGCUAAAAAAUCAAACUUAAGCUACAAACUGAAGCUAAAACAUCAAACUGAAGCUACAAACUGAAGCUAAAAUAUCAAACUGAAGCUAAAACAUCAAACUGAAGCUACAAACUGAAGCUAAAACAUCAAACUGAAGCUAAAACAUCAAACUGAAGCUACAAAAUCAAACUAAAGCUACAAACUGAAGCUAAAAUAUCAAACUGAAGCUAAAGCUACAAAUUGAAGCUAUAACAUCCAGCUGAAGCUAAAACUUCAAACUGAAGCUUCAAACUGAAGCUUCAAACUGAAGCGAUCAAACUGAAGCUAAAGCUACAAACUGAAGCUAAAGCUAGUCUGAAGCUACAACAGCAAACUUAAGCUACAAACUGAAGCUAAAACAUCAAACUGAAGCUAAAAAAUCAAACUGAAGGUACAAAUUGAAGCUUCAAACCGAAACUAAAAUGUCAAAUUGAAGCUAAAAUAUCAAACUGAAGCUACAACAUCAAACUAAAGCUACAAACUGAAGCUAUAACAUCAAACUGAUGCUACAAAUUGAAGCUAAAGCUACAAAUUGAAGCUAUAACAUCCAGCUGAAGCUAAAACAUCAAACUGAAGCUUCAAACUGAAGCUACAACAUCAAACUGAAGCUAAAACAUCAAACUGAAGCUUCAAACUGAAGCUACAACAUCAAACUGAAGCUACAAAGUGAAGCUAAACAACAUCUUACAGUGACAUGCCAUCCCAUCCAGUUUGCAGUUAGCUGGGCAUCAUUUAGUCUCCAACAGGACAAUGACCCCAAACACACCUCCAAGCUGUGGAAGGACUAUCUCACCAAGAAGGAGAUGAUGGAGAUGACCUGGCCUCCACAGUCACCUGACCUAAACCCAAUCCAGAUGGUUUGGGAUGAGAUGGACCACAAAGUGAAGGCAGAAGGACCAACAAGUGCUCAGCAUCUCUGGGACUCCUUCAAGACUGUUGGAAAAUCAUUUCAGGUUCUACCUCAUGAAGAUCAUCCAGAGAAAGCCAAGAGUGUCCAAAGCAGGAAUCAUAGCAGAAGGUGGCUAUUUUGAAAAAUCUAAAUUUCAACUUGUUUUACAAUUUAUUCUAGGUAGAUUUUGAGUCAUUAUUGGCAAUUUUUAAUGUGUUUGGACAAAUUCAACUGUUCUUAACAAAAUUUGAGUUUUUUUGGGACUUGUUCAGGGUGAUUUGGGACUUCAUUAGGGUCAUUUCUGACAAGAUUUAACAAAUUUUGGACAUAUUUGGAGUCAUUUUGUACUAUUUUUAAGAUGUUUUGCAAAGUUUUGAGCAAUUUUGAACAUUUUUCGAGUCGUUUUGGACUCAUUUCAACUUAUUCCACGUAAAACAGAAUUUAAACUCUUAAUGGGAAUAAACUGUUUAAAAUUCACAAACAUCGCCUUCUAACUAUAAUGUACGUUCUGACAAUAACAUAAUUCUCAUUUGAAGUCAGUUUUUCCAUAUUUGCUUAUUUUACAUUCAUAUUCCAGAACAUUCUCACACAGAAAUGCUCUAAGCUGUGAUGGUUUAAAUGCUUUUAGACGAUUCAUGCUGAUGGUUGCACCCAAAGUGCAGAACAAUGAAGCAUGCAGAUGUGAUUAUUUCCUCAUAGUCAGCGUUACUCACUGAUCAUAUCAGUACCUGAGUUAUUAUACAACAUCUCAUAGGUAUGACUCAAUAAACGGACCUGCACGUGAAAGAAAUCAGUGAUUAACACACAGCAAAGGGCCCUGAGAGAAUAUGGACUUUUAAAAGAGAAAAUAAGUGAAAUAAAUGUAUAUAGAGACAACAAAUCUUUCAUAAUAAGCUGAUUAAAAAAAAACAUCUCCGGUAACUUUAUGAAUGAUCAGAGUUCUACCUUCAUACUGUGAAUAUGGACAGAUCGACGAUGUGUCUCCUGGACUCUGCCUGGAAAGCUUUCAGCUGCACAAUCUGUUCUUCAGCAGACAGACUGUUUUCUCCAACGUUAGCCUCUGGUCCCGGUGUCUUUGAGGGCUGUGCUGUGGUCCGUGGCCCUGGUGUGGCCAGAGGUUCUGGCCUGGAUCCAGUUGCAGGCUGGAUCUGUGGUCUGGUCAAGAUGGUGAUUUGUUGUCUGGGUCCAGCAGCGGGCCUUGGGCCGGGUCUAAGCGGGGGCUUCAGACCGGGUCCAGCGGUGGGUCUUGGAGUUUGACUGCUUUUGUACACAUUUGGGUAAUUUUGGAUAAUUUUUUAUCAUUUGAAGAAUAUUUUAAAGUACUUUUGGACAGUUUUGUAGUUAUUUUUAACAUUUUUUAAACAAUUUUGGAUGAUUUACAUGUUAUUUUGAACAAUACUGAGAAAUUCUGGACAAUUUUUUAUGUCAUUUUGGAUGACUUUUGUGUUAUUUAGAACACAUUUUUAAAUA